GUGAGGAAUAUUGGUCAAUGGACGAGAGUCUGAACCAGCCAAGUCGCGUGAAGGAAGACGGUUCUAUGAAUUGUAAACUUCUUUUGUGCAGGAAUAAAGUGGGUUACGUGUAACCUUUUGUAUGUACUGUACGAAUAAGGAUCGGCUAACUCCGUGCCAGCAGCCGCGGUAAUACGGAGGAUCCGAGCGUUAUCCGGAGUUAUUGGGUUUAAACGGUGCGUAGGUGGCUUGAUAAGUCAGCGGUGAAAGUUUGCAGCUUAACUGUAAAAUUGACGUUGAAACUGUCGGUCUUGAGUGCAAAUGAGGUAGGCGGAAUGUGUUGUGUAGCGGUGAAAUGCUUAGAUAUAACACAGAACUCCGAUUGCGAAGGCAGCUUACUGGGAUGCAACUGACACUGAUGCACGAAAGCGUGGGUAUCAAACAGGAUUAGAUACCCUGGUAGUCC
rnacentral:rRNA from 1 species